rnacentral:tRNA from 1 species
GCCAGUGUGGUGUAGUGGUUUGAGUGUUAGAUUACAACUCUGGAGACCAGGGUUCAAAUCCCUCACAGCCA